AACGAGCGCUGGCGGCAUGCCUAACACAUGCAAGUCGAACGAGACCUUCGGGUCUAGUGGCGCACGGGUGCGUAACGCGUGGGAACCUGCCCUUAGGUUCGGAAUAACUCCCCGAAAGGGGUGCUAAUACCGGAUAAUGUCUUCGGACCAAAGAUUUAUCGCCUUUGGAUGGGCCCGCGUUGGAUUAGCUAGUUGGUAGGGUAAAAGCCUACCAAGGCGACGAUCCAUAGCUGGUCUGAGAGGAUGAUCAGCCACACUGGGACUGAGACCCGGCCCAGACUCCUACGGGAGGCAGCAGUGGGGAAUAUUGGACAAUGGGCGAAAGCCUGAUCCAGCAAUGCCGCGUGAGUGAUGAAGGCCUUAGGGUUGUAAAGCUCUUUUACCCGGGAUGAUAAUGACAGUACCGGGAGAAUAAGCUCCGGCUAACUCCGUG
rnacentral:rRNA from 1 species